CGCUAACCUUACAAGUUUUGCAAGGUAUGCACAAAAAACCAACCAAGGUAUAGAGCUCGUCGUCAGAGCACUUUGUUGGUCAUAUCCCGAAAGGGGUAUGGUCUCGCAAGAGAU
rnacentral:sRNA from 12 species